rnacentral:rRNA from 1 species
GAUGAACGCUGGCGGCGUGCCUAAUACAUGCAAGUCGAGCGAACGGACGAGACGCUCCCCCCCCUGCUGCUCCCGGCGGACGGGUGAGUACCACGCGCCUACCCUACCUAUCAGACUGGCAUCCCUUCCCGAAACCCGAGCCAACACCGGACGAUAUUCUGAACCGCAUGGUUCAACAGUGAAAGCCCGUCCUGCUGUCACUUAUACAUGGAUCCCCGCUGCAUUAGCUAGUUGGUAAGGUAACGGCCUACCAAGGCAACGAUGCAUAGCCGACCUGAGAGGGUGAUCGGCCACACGGGAACUGAGACACGGUCCAGACUCCUACGGGAGGCAGCAGUAGGGAAUCUUCGGCAAUGGGCGAAAGCCUGACGGAGCAACGCCGCGUGAGUGAUGAAGGUCUUCGGAUCGUAAAACUCUGUUAGUAGGGAGGAACAGAUGUGUAAGUAACUGUGCACAUCUUGACGGUACCUAAUCAGAAAGCCACGGCUAACUACGUG